UGAUAGAGGCGCGGCCGACAUCAGUAGCUCCAUCGAAGGCGACGGGAAUCGCGGUGGUGCGAAAGGGGACGCCGCCGAAGGGUAUCGGCUUUUCCGGGCCGGUAUGCCUGGGACGCGGGAGAACAUCCUGUGUACUGUCGCAUCCGCGGAGAGCUGUC
rnacentral:ncRNA from 1 species